rfam:Methanosarcina acetivorans str. C2A, complete genome.
GGGAGCCGUAUGAAUCAAGAGAUUCACGUACGGAUCUGAGAGGGCUUGGGGGUGAAAUUCCCCUGGGCUACUUACU